GAUGAACGCUGGCGGCGUGCUUAACACAUGCAAGUCGAACGAUGAAGCUCAGCUUGCUGGGUGGAUUAGUGGCGAACGGGUGAGUAACACGUGAGUAACCUGCCCUUAACUCUGGGAUAAGCCUGGGAAACUAGGUCUAAUACCGGAUAGGAGCGCCUACCGCAUGGUGGGUGUUGGAAAGAUUUAUCGGUUUUGGAUGGACUCGCGGCCUAUCAGCUUGUUGGUGAGGUAAUGGCUCACCAAGGCGACGACGGGUAGCUGGCCUGAGAGGGUGACCGGCCACACUGGGACUGAGACACGGCCCAGACUCCUACGGGAGGCAGCAGUGGGGAAUAUUGCACAAUGGGCGAAAGCCUGAUGCAGCGACGCCGCGUGAGGGAUGACGGCCUUCGGGUUGUAAACCUCUUUCAGUAGGGAAGAAGCGAAAGUGACGGUACCUGCAGAAGAAGCACCGGCUAACUACGUG
rnacentral:rRNA from 1 species